rnacentral:rRNA from 1 species
GUAGCAUGCUAGGUCGGCUUGAUUGUGGGGAAAACUCCACAAUUAAGCGUGCUUGAGCCAGAGGAGUAUUGGGAUGGGUGACCACCCGGGAAGUCCUGGUUACCAGAUGCA